rnacentral:lncRNA from 1 species
UUCGAUAAUUACACUUUUGGAUAACCAUAACAUCUUAUGUUUGCUAAGAUCCUGGGCGAUUCGAAGGUUUAGGCGAGAACAGGGUCAUAACUUUGGGCGACUCCAAGGCACUUCAUUCGCUCAGAUCUUGGGCGUCUUGCAAGUUUGGACGAUAGUGUUACCGCGUUCGUGGGCUUCCACUGCAUUCAUUGAUAACCCUAUUCGGGCAUUUAUCCUGAAUUGCCCAGUUGGGCUUCAUUAUUUAGGCUAUUCGAUUUGGGCUGCACUUUUAGCGUGUCAAUAAUUACCCCCAAUAUGGCAAAAUUAAUAUCAAUUAUUA